AACGAACGUUGGCGGCGUGGAUUAGGCAUGCAAGUCGAGCGAAUCCCAGCAAUGGGGGAAGCGGCGAAAGGGGCAGUAAGGCAUGGGUAACCUACCCUGGGGACUGGGAUAGCCCUUCGAGAGAAGGGGUAAUACCGGGCGACGUGCCGAGGAGGCAUCUCCUUGUCACCAAAUGAGUUUCGCCCUGGGAGGGGCCCAUGUGAUAUUAGCUAGUUGGUGGGGUAACGGCCCACCAAGGCGAAGAUGUCUAGCGGGUGUGAGAGCACGACCCGCGCCACUGGCACUGAGACACUGGCCAGACACCUACGGGUGGCUGCAGUCGAGGAUCUUCGGCAAUGGGCGCAAGCCUGACCGAGCGACGCCGCGUGUGCGAUGAAGGCCUUCGGGUUGUAAAGCACUGUCGAGAGGGAGAAAAGCGCAAGCUUGAUCUAUCUCUGGAGGAAGCACGGGCUAAGUUCGUGCCAGCCGCCGCCGUAAUAC
rnacentral:rRNA from 1 species